rnacentral:rRNA from 1 species
CAGUAGCCGCGGGAAUACAGAGGGUGCGAGAGUUAAUCGGAUUUACUGGGCGUAAAGCGUGCGUAGGCGGCUUCUUAAGUCGGAUGUGAAAUCCCUGAGCUUAACUUAGGAAUUGCAUUCGAUACUGGGAAGCUAGAGUAUGGGAGAGGAUGGUAGAAUUCCAGGUGUAGCGGUGAAAUGCGUAGAGAUCUGGAGGAAUACCGAUGGCGAAGGCAGCCAUCUGGCCUAAUACUGACGCUGAGGUACGAAAGCAUGGGGAGCAAACAGGAUUAGAUACCCCCGUAGUCCCUGUCUCUUAUAA